UACGAAGGGGGCUAGCGUUGCUCGGAAUCACUGGGCGUAAAGCGCACGUAGGCGGAUCGCUAAGUCAGGGGUGAAAUCCUGGAGCUCAACUCCAGAACUGCCUUUGAUACUGGCAAUCUCGAGUCCGGGAGAGGUGAGUGGAACUGCGAGUGUAGGAGGUGAAAUUCGUAGAUAUUCGCAAGAACACCAGUGGCGAAGGCGGCUCACUGGCCCGGUACUGACGCUGAGGUGCGAAAGCGUGGGGAGCAAACAGG
rnacentral:rRNA from 1 species